CUUUUCGUGUAGCGGCCGCGUUAUCUUUUGUUCUUCUGUUUGUUGCCAAGAGCAUUCUUUAGGUUUGUCUCCAAAAUGAAAAGCCACAAUCCUCUCCAUGCCACAUGGCAUCUAGUUGGCGGUGUUUGUUUCCGUGCCGUUUUUCUACCUGAAUAUAUUUUCCCAGCAGCCCCUUGGGUUAAGCAAACGACACAAACAAAGCGGUGUCACUGGCACGGAAACAAACACCGCCAACGACCGCCAACUAGAUGCCAUACGCGCCUGGGCAUUCAACAAACAAAAUGGCGGCUCGGUUGCGAGGUCCAGUGAGCGCUGUAAAGAGUAGGAGGAACCAGAAAUGACUUUAAGCAGUCGACUAAUAAGACAUGACUGCUCAAUAGUGGACCUUGUUCCACGAUUUCCUUAUACUGUUCACUCUGUUGACUCUCCUGGAGGAAACCAAACUCACCAUGCC
rnacentral:misc_RNA from 1 species